CUCACUCUAGCUCAGUUGGUUAAAGCGCUGCACCGGAAUCGCAGUGCUGCAGAUUCGAUUCCUGCGAGAGCAC